UAGAUACAAACAGCAUAGAAUCAAGGCUUUCAGGUGAUAAAUUUAAAUUUUUUGUAAAAGUAUGUGAAACAAAAAAAUGUGAAGCAUUAGCAUCAAUUAAAACAUGUGCACAGUGGUUACAAAUAGUGUACGUAACCUGUAUCAUAUCUAAAUUGGCUUCAGCAACCUGCUGGGUGAUGGUAUAGACUCUGCGCUAUGGUAUAGACUCUGCCCUGGACUAGAGGUCGAACCUGAUUCUGAU
rnacentral:lncRNA from 1 species